CUGCUCAGCAUCACUUGUUCUCGAUCAGGGUCUGCACUUUGUAGACAAGGUCUCUUGCUAUCCUCAGGAUUUCCUCAGCGUCAUGGUGCUCUGCCAUCUCUAGAAGACACAGACAAACGCUCUUAACUGCCCCAGCAUCGACCUGAAGGGAGCAUUAGCGAAAUCCCAGACGGAGAGGGCUGCCCCCACACGUGCCUGUGAACGGCUUCUGAGCUCCCAAGGCAGCAAUAAAGCUGAGCUCAGCUGGGUCAGAGGAUCCCUCUCCAGGCAAGGAGUGCAGUGGAGAGGCAGGGAUGCAACCCAGCAACACAGCUCUGAAGUGCCAGGUGACAAGGAGCCUCAGUCCUUGGAGUCCCUGCCCUUCACCAUCAAGCCAGUUCUGAUUCUCACCACAGACUCCUCUCCUCUCCCAGGAGGUCCAAGACAGCUCACCUGGAUGAGGGACCGCAUGUUGGCGAAGUGUGUGUCCAUAGCACCUCCGUUGGGGAAGUUCUGGCUCAUCCUCUUCAUCAGGUGGCUGAAGCAGCUGUAAGCCAGCUGAUCUGCAGGCACAAGGCAGGAGGCUGAGCACUGUGGGACUGCCUUGGACCAAAAUAACAAACUGCAAGGCAGGGGAGAAACUGCCCUCUGCUGCUCCCUAACCCCAUCACCA